GGGGUUGUAGUCCAGCUUGGUUAAGAUUCCAGGUUUGGGACCUGGCGACCCCGGUUCAAAUCCGGGCAACCCCA
rnacentral:tRNA from 1 species